rnacentral:rRNA from 1 species
UGCUAGUUGCACGAGUUCACACUCGUGGCGAAAAGCUCAGUAACACGUGGCCAAACUACCCUACAGAGAACGAUAACCUCGGGAAACUGAGGCUAAUAGUUCAUACGGGAGUCAUGCUGGAAUGCCGACUCCCCGAAACGCUCAGGCGCUGUAGGAUGUGGCUGCGGCCGAUUAGGUAGACGGUGGGGUAACGGCCCACCGUGCCGAUAAUCGGUACGGGUUGUGAGAGCAAGAGCCCGGAGACGGAAUCUGAGACAAGAUUCCGGGCCCUACGGGGCGCAGCAGGCGCGAAACCUUUACACUGCACGCAAGUGCGAUAAGGGGACCCCAAGUGCGAGGGCAUAUAGUCCUCGCUUUUCUCGACUGUAAGGCGGUCGAGGAAUAAGAGCUGGGCAAGACCGGUGCCAGCCGCCGCGGUAAUACCGGCAGCUCAAGUGAUGACCGAUAUUAUUGGGCCUAAAGCGUCCGUAGCCGGCCACGAAGGUUCAUCGGGAAAUCCGCCAGCUCAACUGGCGGGCGUCCGGUGAAAACCACGUGGCUUGGGACCGGAAGGCUCGAGGGGUACGUCCGGGGUAGGAGUGAAAUCCUGUAAUCCUGGACGGACCACCGAUGGCGAAAGCACCUCGAGAAGACGGAUCCGACGGUGAGGGACGAAAGCUAGGGUCUCGAACCGGAUUAGAUACCCGGGUAGUCCUAGCUGUAAACGAUGCUCGCUAGGUGUGGCACAGGCUACGAGCCUGUGCUGUGCCGUAGGGAAGCCGAGAAGCGAGCCGCC